CCUACGGGGGGCUGCAGUAGGGAAUAUUGCACAAUGGGCGCAAGCCUGAUGCAGCCAUGCCGCGUGUGUGAAGAAGGCCUUCGGGUUGUAAAGCACUUUCAGCGGGGAGGAAGGCGGUGAGGUUAAUAACCUCAUCGAUUGACGUUACCCGCAGAAGAAGCACCGGCUAACUCCGUGCCAGCAGCCGCGGUAAUACGGAGGGUGCAAGCGUUAAUCGGAAUUACUGGGCGUAAAGCGCACGCAGGCGGUCUGUCAAGUCGGAUGUGAAAUCCCCGGGCUCAACCUGGGAACUGCAUUCGAAACUGGCAGGCUAGAGUCUUGUAGAGGGGGGUGGAAUGCCAGGUGUAGCGGUGAAAUGCGUAGAGAUCUGGAGGAAUACCGGUGGCGAAGGCGGCCCCCUGGCCAAAGACUGACGCGCAGGUGCGAAAGCGUGGGGAGCAAACAGGAUUAGAUACCCGGGUAGUC
rnacentral:rRNA from 1 species